AUGGAGGAGGACGGCCCUAGCCGGAGCGGCCUGCCGCCGGUCGGGGAGUGCGAAUGGAGGGAGGAGCUGAGGCAGCAGCAGUCCCAGGUCGAGGCGCUGCGCGACAGGCUCGUGGAGGUGAAGGUCGGGAUGCGGCGCUCCGAGGACGAUUCCGGCCGGGAGCUCGAGCACCUGUGCCGCAGGGUCAAGACCAUCGCCACCCUGCUGGCCUACCUCAAAUCCAAGGCCAGGAUCAUGGCGAUACCGCACCUCGCGCACACGUCCUGCGGGAUCAGGAACCAGGACGGCGUGGGGUUCGUCGACCGGCACGGGUUGCCCCUGGCCGAUUGGUCCAAGGCCGCUGAGCCCGCCUCCUGUGGGGGAGGUUCGGAUGACAGGGCGUCGGCAGAGGGUAGCGGCGUUCACAAAAAUUGUGAUGCCGUUGAGGGGGAUGGAGAUGUCGAUGAUAUUCUUAAGUCCAUCCGUGUGGUGACAGACGUCAUGGAGUCUCUUGUGAAGAGAGUGAUUGUGGCUGAGUCUGAAACUGCUAAUGAGAAGGAAAAGGUGAGGAUUGGCUUGGAAGAGAUCAGGAGGAAGACCAUACAGGUCGAGUCCAUGUCGGUCAAAGUCGAGGAGAUGGAGAAAUUUGCGGUCGGUACGAAUGGUAUGCUGAAUGAGAUGAGGCAGCGGGUUGAAGAUAUGGUGCUGGAGACCACUCGGCAGAGGCAGCGCGCUGCUGAAAAUGAGCAGGAGCUCAGUCGUGUGAAGAACGACUUUGAGUCGCUCAGAACUUAUGUGAGCACACUCGUUAGUGUCAGAGAAACUCUUCUUUCAUCGGAGAAGCAAUUCGAGACAAUGGAGAAGCUUUUUGACAGGCUAGUCGCAAGGACCAACCAGCUCGAGACUGAGAAAGCACAGAAAGAAGCUGAAGUCCAGAAGGUGAUGGAGGAAAAUGUGAGGCUACGUGCCAUGGUCGACAAGAAGGACGCACAGCUCCAGGCGAUGAGUGAGCAGUGCAAGUUCAUGGCUCUGAACCGUCCAAACUAG
rnacentral:rRNA from 1 species